rnacentral:rRNA from 1 species
UACGUAGGGGGCUAGCGUUGUCCGGAAUCAUUGGGCGUAAAGCGCGUGUAGGCGGUCCGGUAAGUCCGCUGUGAAAGUCGGGGGGCUCAACCCUCGGAUGCCGGUGGAUACUGUCGGGCUCGAGUCCGGAAGAGGCGAGUGGAAUUCCUGGUGUAGCGGUGGAAUGCGCAGAUAUCAGGAGGAACACCUAUUGCGAAGGCAGCUCGCUGGGACGUAACUGACGCUGAGACGCGAAAGCGUGGGGAGCAAACAGG